rnacentral:lncRNA from 1 species
CUCUAAGCGAAAGACAUGAGGCCUAAGACUGAAAUGAGGUUGUUUUGAGGCCAUCUGAUUUCUGACUAGAAGGUGUGCGAUCGCCUCGUCCUGAAACCACUGCAAACAGAAUGGUAAUGGCAAAACCUAAGAGAAAGAGAGGCCUUCAUGUUUUUCCAUGUCUGUUCUCUUAUCCCAAUUCCUUCCUCUUUAAGAUUAAAACAAAUUUUUUAAGUUACGAACAAAAAGUAUUAAACAAUAUGCUAAUAUACCCUAACUAAACUGGGUCUCAGGUGAAGAGUUGUGUAAAUCUACAUGGUAAGCCUUGUAUAGUUGUUUGAACUUUUUAGUGAGCUACUUAAUUAGUGACAAAAUCUGUAUUCUGUGAAAACGCCUGAGCCAUUAGGAAUUUGCAGAUUGAAAUAAUUUUCUUCCUUUGAAAAAUGAUAGGGUUUGCUCUUAGAAGGGACUCCAGACUUGUGAGGCGUUUCAGACUAGGAAGUUAGGGUUCUUGUCACAACUUUCUUUUGCUGUCAUAAAGAAUUUUAAUGUCUUAUGUAUGUGUUUCUGUUUUUCUAUUUAAGAUGUAAAGUCCUAUUAAGAAUGUUAGUAGUAUCAGUUAGCUCUACUUUAAUUAUUACCGGUAUCUUAGUUCAAAAUGUAUUUUGUAGUUGAGAAUAGCACUGUUUGUUUUUAUUACAGUAAAACUUUUUUGAGAGAGUGCUACUAUUUAUUAAGUUUAUUCCAGUGGUCCAGGUCCUGUUAAAAUAAUGUUGAUGUGGCAAUUACUAGGCUGAAUCCCGCUGGGAAUAGAAUUCCAAUAGGGUCUUUGCUCAAGUUCAGAUUUUAUGCAAAGCCAUCUUUUCAGAAUAAAUGGUCACUUGUUAUUUCUUGUACUACAUGUAAUAGUGUUAAUAGCAAAAAUAGUAUCACAAGUUUACUUAUAUUUAGCCUGAAUUAUAUGUUUGUUUAAUUGAUGGCAUGCCAAGAAAAUGAAAUUGUCAUCCCCUUCCAGAGGGUAAUGGGGUGGGGGGGGGCAAAUUCUAUGGAACUGUGACAGCAUUAAUAUAUUUUUUAAAGUCAUGCUUCUUUCCAUGUUUUCUUCUAGGGUCUCGGUUGUUGGUAUAGUGCUACAUUACCUCAUUUCUCUACAAACAGUAUUUUCUUAUAAAGAGUAUUACCAAUAAUAUCUUACAAACAGUAUUUUCGCAGAUGCUGAGAGUGACUUAAAGUUUUAAAAUGUAUUUUUAUUUGUAUAUGUGGCUUUCUGUGACGAUAGACUUAAUCACAUGCCAUGCAAAUCCAGGCACCAGUUAGGCUCACAGCAGUGUAGUAAUCUUCUAUCUGUGAUCUUGGUUUAGCCUUCAAUCAGUCAGUCUAGCUUUGUUCCGAAGAGAAGCAGUUUUCCUUUGUUUUCUAGAUCUCCCUAUGUGUUGUUUUAAUUCUUCUGGAAAUGUGAACUCUGACCUCUUGCUUUUCUAUGGAAAAAUUAAACAGGCCAAUCUAAAAACAUAGUUUUUAAGCCUGUAGUAGCAGAAUUGUUCAUAUAGUUCACUUUUGUGUGUUAAUGCUUUAAUAAGAAACAAAUAGAUUGUUUUUAUUUUUUUGAAAUUCUUGUUUCUUAUGUUUACCCAAACACUUUAUUUCUUCCCUCAAAUAAAGCCUAUCUAGUUGACCCUGUUUGAAGUUAGAAGAACUUUGAAGGUCAUCUUUUAUAUUUCUAUUUCAUGUGCUAAAAAUGAAUGUGAUAGAAGUACAAAGACUUUAACCACUAUUAAUUGGCUAAAAAUGUGGUUUCUAAAGGCAUGUGUUAUAUAAGAAUGAAAUCAGUAAUCUCAUUUAUACAUCUGAAUAUCUGUCACCAUAAUAAUAGCUUAUUAACAGAAAAUAUAGAACUGAUGCCACUUUAAUUUAAAGCCUGAAAUUGUAAAUGUGAAGAUAUUUGGACCCAAUAAAUAUUAAAUAGGUGAUAUAUAUGAGUAUAGUUUAAUAUUUUUUAAUAAGUAAACUGCCUUGUUUCUAAGCAAAACUUUAAUGUUAGACUUAAGAGCUUAUAACUGUAAGAUGAGAAAGAAACAUUAACUUUAAAAUGUCAUUUUGAAAAUUAUAAAAGUAAAUAUUGACCUUAGAAAGUUUUUUCCUUUUGACAUUGUUUAAUUUUUUUUCCUUUUUGUUUUUUAGGUUUGCAAUUUUUUUUGGUGAUGGCAUGUUCAGAAUCUUGGAUCCCUAAGUUGAAUAUGUUGGAAAUAUUUAGGAACUCUGGAAAUUAUUGUUUUGUGUAUAUAAUGGCUUACUAGGUGAAUCAGUAGAUUUAAUAAAAAGUAUAUAAAAGACUAGGUAUUAUAAUUUUGUGUUUCUAAGUUGACAUGCAUAUCUCAAAUUGUCAUCUAUCAGUGUUAGUGUCAUUCUCUGGAGAUAGUCCUAUUUUGAAGAUUUGGGGGUUUUUAUGGACCCCGUAUUUUCCCAGGCAGUUUAUGUAUUCCCCUACUCCUCGGGCCAGUUUGUUCAGCUCCUUUACC